rnacentral:rRNA from 1 species
GAGGAAUAUUGGUCAAUGGGCGAGAGCCUGAACCAGCCAAGUAGCGUGCAGGACGACGGCCCUAUGGGUUGUAAACUGCUUUUGUAUGGGGAUAAAGUCAAUCACGUGUGAUUGUUUGCAGGUACCAUACGAAUAAGGACCGGCUAAUUCCGUGCCAGCAGCCGCGGUAAUACGGAAGGUCCGGGCGUUAUCCGGAUUUAUUGGGUUUAAAGGGAGCGUAGGCUGGAGAUUAAGUGUGUUGUGAAAUGUAGACGCUCAACGUCUGACUUGCAGCGCAUACUGGUUUCCUUGAGUACGCACAACGUUGGCGGAAUUCGUCGUGUAGCGGUGAAAUGCUUAGAUAUGACGAAGAACUCCGAUUGCGAAGGCAGCUGACGGGAGCGCAACUGACGCUGAAGCUCGAGGGUGCGGGUAUCGAACAGGAUUAGAUACCCUGGUAGUCCGCACAGUAAACGAUGGAUGCCCGCUGUUGGUACGUGGUAUCAGCGGCUAAGCGAAAGCAUUAAGCAUCCCACCUGGGGAGUACGCCGGCAACGGUG